UAAAGAGUGCGUAAUAGCUCACUAGUCGAGUGACACUGCGCCGAAAAUGUACCGGGGCUAAACAUAUUACCGAAGCUGUGGAUUGUCCUUUGGACAAUGGUAGGAGAGCGUUCUAAGGGCGUCGAAGCAUGAUCGCAAGGACAUGUGGAGCGCUUAGAAGUGAGAAUGCCGGUGUGAGUAGCGAAAGACGGGUGAGAAUCCCGUCCACCGAUUGACUAAGGUUUCCAGAGGAAGGCUCGUCCGCUCUGGGUUAGUCGGGUCCUAAGCUGAGGCCGACAGGCGUAGGCGAUGGAUAACAGGUUGAUAUUCCUGUACCACCUAGUAUCGUUUUAAUCGAUGGGGGGACGCAGUAGGAUAGGCGAAGCGUGCUGUUGGAGUGCACGUCCAAGCAGUAAGGCUGAGUGUUAGGCAAAUCCGGCACUCAUAAGGCUGAGCUGUGAUGGGGAGAGGAAAUUGUUUCCUCGAGUCGUUGAUUUCACACUGCCGAGAAAAGCCUCUAGAUAGAUAACAGGUGCCCGUACCGCAAACCGACACAGGUAGUCAAGAUGAGAAUUCUAAGGUGAGCGAGCGAACUCUCGUUAAGGAACUCGGCAAAAUGACCCCGUAACUUCGGGAGAAGGGGUGCUCUUUAGGGUUCACGCCCAGAAGAGCCGCAGUGAAUAGGCCCAAGCGACUGUUUAUCAAAAACACAGGUCUCUGCUAAACCGUAAGGUGAUGUAUAGGGGCUGACGCCUGCCCGGUGCUGGAAGGUUAAGAGGAGUGGUUAGCUUCUGCGAAGCUACGAAUCGAAGCCCCAGUAAACGGCGGCCGUAACUAUAACGGUCCUAAGGUAGCGAAAUUCCUUGUCGGGUAAGUUCCGACCCGCACGAAAGGCGUAACGAUUUGGGCACUGUCUCAACGAGAGACUCGGUGAAAUCAUAGUACCUGUGAAGAUGCAGGUUACCCGCGACAGGACGGAAAGACCCCGUGGAGCUUUACUGUAGCCUGAUAUUGAAAUUCGGCACAGCUUGUACAGGAUAGGUAGGAGCCUUUGAAACGUGAGCGCUAGCUUACGUGGAGGCGUUGGUGGGAUACUACCCUAGCUGUGUUGGCUUUCUAACCCGCACCACUUAUCGUGGUGGGAGACAGUGUCAGGCGGGCAGUUUGACUGGGGCGGUCGCCUCCUAAAAGGUAACGGAGGCGCUCAAAGGUUCCCUCAGAAUGGUUGGAAAUCAUUCAUAGAGUGUAAAGGCAUAAGGGAGCUUGACUGCGAGACCUACAAGUCGAGCAGGGUCGAAAGACGGACUUAGUGAUCCGGUGGUUCCGCAUGGAAGGGCCAUCGCUCAACGGAUAAAAGCUACCCCGGGGAUAACAGGCUUAUCUCCCCCAAGAGUUCACAUCGACGGGGAGGUUUGGCACCUCGAUGUCGGCUCAUCGCAUCCUGGGGCUGUAGUCGGUCCCAAGGGUUGGGCUGUUCGCCCAUUAAAGCGGUACGCUAGCUGGGUUCAGAACGUCGUGAGACAGUUCGGUCCCUAUCCGUCGUGGGCGUAGGAAAUUUGAGAGGAGCUGUCCUUAGUACGAGAGGACCGGGAUGGACAUACCUCUGGUGUACCAGUUGUCGUGCCAACGGCAUAGCUGGGUAGCUAUGUAUGGACGGGAUAAGUGCUGAAAGCAUCUAAGCAUGAAGCCCCCCUCAAGAUGAGAUUUCCCAACUUCGGUUAUAAGAUCCCUCGAAGAUGACGAGGUUAAUAGGUUCGAGGUGGAAGCGUGGUGACACGUGGAGCUGACGAAUACUAAUCGAUCGAAGACUUAAUCAAUUUUUAAA
rnacentral:rRNA from 1 species